GCUGCCCUGCCAGUGACGAGCAGCUGAAGAUGUCUCCGCUCCCCCCCCCCCCCCUUGCUUGGAAGUCAUCCAACCCAGCGCUCCAAAAAGACAGGCUCGCCUCUGUUAACUCCCCGGGCAGAUUAAGGUCGUCCUGCCAUCUCUGUCCGACUCUCUGUUUCUGUCCAGAUGCACAACAAGUCGCUCAACCUUUCGGCCGCCCUUCCUGCUAACAUCUAAUGGGGUGAACGCUCUGAUCCAAGAGCGCCGGGAAAAAACUAAUUCUGCUGCUUUGUUUGAUUGUGGUCCUUGCAUAAUUUCUCAAAUCUAAAAGCGUCUUUAAAUUUAGAGCAGGCCUGUUUCGAUUUAAAUGCAAACAUAACCAAGAAUCCGGCUUUUUCCUCAGUGGAAAAGAAACACAUUUUCUCUCCUUCAAAUUGAGUUCCUCAAACUCUAAUUUAGAGCAACCCUUUGAUGAACUAAUGUUUUCAAACUAGCCUGCUAUAAUGAAAAGGGAGUGAGUGCAAUUUUAAACAAUCCGAAGCUCUGAACCUUCUGUGACUGUAUACUGUUAAGAUGAAACUUUAGCAUUUGUAUCAAUUACACUUUAAAACUCCUGACAGGACCUUAAAUAACAGCCAGCAGAGCUGGACGUAGAAAAUGUUUACCAGAUCAGUUUCAUUUCCACCUCAACCGUCUGUUGCUGGUGACAUCAAUUCUUCAUGUGAGGCAUUUAGAUGUUUUCCCCAAACGUGCCCUGCUGUCUCAGGCUCUCCCUCGAUGACUGGGGUCAAUGAGUGUGCAUGUUUGUCAGCUCUGAUCGUUAAUGAAACGCUCACACAAAUACAGCACGGGCAAAUAUUUAGAGGCCAGCCUGGAGAUUUCAUCACGACUGAAGCUGUGAUUCUUCGGGGAGCGCUGGAUUACUUUAUUUCCCAGGAAAGAAGCAUAUACUCAAGAUCAAACUUGUCCGUGCCUUGAUGAAUGUGGAGGAGCAGAAAGUCUCCUGCCUUUGACCGAUAACCAGUGUGAUUUUAAUUUAAAUCAUAUGAAUCAAUGUCUGGCCGGAGCAGAAAUAAAAUAUUUUUAAAUGAAAACAUCUGACUCUAAUUGCUUAAGAACAAUGUUCUGCAUAGUAGAUCUAGAAUAACCUUGUUUUGAUACUGAUUUGAUUUCUAUGUGUUUGUGUAAGUUUACCCAGACCCAGUCUGUGGAAACAUGAUGCUGCUCUGCCCUUAGCAGCCAGGACAGUUUCUCCUCAGGCCUCCUACAGCCCCUAUGGAAACCUUAUGACCAUCCUUCCUGGAGAGCAUUUGUGAGUGUGGAAACACAGGAAGGAGCAAUCAGCUACAGGCCAAAAAUGUCCUAAAUAGGCCCCUGGAGGUCAGACUGUUGGACAGGAGAGAGGCCCGCCAGGUGCUGAUUGGAAGAGGAUGAAGCCUUUGAAUGCAAACAUCACUGUGAUUUUGGUGUAAAUGUACUUUUCUAAUAAAUGCAAAUCUACAGCAUCCUGUUAUUCUGUAAAAGGACCGAAAACAAACUGCUGCUACUUCUGCUUAAAAAAAAAGAAAAUAAA